rnacentral:misc_RNA from 1 species
UACUCUCGUAGCAGGGGCUUGGUACAGCAUGUAAAGUCAAUCUAAUCUAAUGAGAACAAGGAAAGAGUGCCUAAACAGUUCAUAUUAGUAACUUGAAAUCUUUUCAUAUGCCUUUAUAAUGCCGAAGAGUGAAUCUAGAUCACGUUCAAGAAGUAAGAGUGGUAGUCCGCGCCGGAAACACAAGAAAGAGCGCAGUUAUCGCCGGCGAACGAAAAGUCGUUCUCCCAGCGCGACGCCAUCUUCGACCAAGAGAAGAAGUCGCGAUCGAUCUCCUCGGCGCCGCUCUCGAUCACCACGGAGGAAGAAGAGAUAUUCGAGAAGUAGAUCUCGCUCUCCUAGUGUUGAUCGAUUCGGCCGUUCUAUAGUGAAAAGAAAAGAGGAUGAUCCUAGCUCGAAACGAAAAGAAGAAGAAGAAAGAUUGCAGGAGAUGGAACGUCAGAGAAAAAUUCGAGCCACUGAGAAAGAAAAAAUGAUGAUAGAGGAAGAAACUCAAAAGCGGGUUGAAGAUCUUGUUGCUAAGAGAGUAGAUGAAGAACUUGCCAAAAGGAAAGAUGAAAUUGAUGCUGAAGUCAUGAAGAGAGUAGAAGAGGCCAAGAGAGUGAUGGAAAAACAGAUGGUUGAAGAAUUUGAAAAACGAAGACAGGAGCAACUUGAAGAACAACAAAUGAAGGAGAUACCUUUGUUGGAUCAGUUGAGAAGGAAAACAUUAUCAAGACCUAGCAGUCGGUCUUUUCAAGCAUUUGGAUUUAAUCCUACCCUUCUUUUGUGCCGUUCUAUCCUUGAACAUGACAUUCAAUCUAGACAUUCACAAAAGACUUCGAUCACUCAAGAACAGCGCAAUUUUCUCAAAUUGCUGUUUGCCUAGAAACUUUUGCCUAGUGGGAAAAAAAAUUAUUUAGGGCAGCACUUCCUGAAGGAACAUUCCACUUUGUGCCAGCACUAAUUUGAAACUUUUUUCUGGGAGAGUUCAAAGUUCAAGUCUUUGCCGACUGUGAAGGAUUUCCUGAAGGAGACUUUGCUUGGAGCAUUUCAUAGGAAUUGUUAGGCGGACAUGUGAGGAAGAACGUCGUAAGAUCACUCUGCUAGAGAGCAAAGUAGAUGAACUCCAAGUGAAACUAAAUGAAGCAAAUCAAAAGUUGGUAUGU